rnacentral:rRNA from 1 species
UACGAAGGGGGCUAGCGUUGCUCGGAAUUACUGGGCGUAAAGCGCACGUAGGCGGCUUUGUAAGUUAGAGGUGAAAGCCCGGGGCUCAACUCCGGAACUGCCUUUAAGACUGCAUCGCUUGAAUUGUGGAGAGGUAAGUGGAAUUCCGAGUGUAGAGGUGAAAUUCGUAGAUAUUCGGAAGAACACCAGUGGCGAAGGCGACUUACUGGACACAUAUUGACGCUGAGGUGCGAAAGCGUGGGGAGCAAACAGG